GUCAAGGUCCCUGAGGACAAACCUUUUGAUAUAGAGGCAAGUGGAGGAUUUUUUGUCCAUGGAAUUGGAGAGAUGGAAUUCUUUCUCAUCUGUGUCAUUCGGCGUUACUGUUCAUUCAUUGGCAAAAAGACGAUUUUGCCCUUAUUUGAAUUUUUGUUACGGCAUUGCCACUGACCCAUUUUCCCUCUCUCUUCCUCCCUUCUGCCUCCCAGACCGAGUGUUUUGCUAUCUCUUUUCUUCCUUCUGCCUCCUAAACCACCUCCUUCACUCCCUCUUAGAUGACUACCUCCUCAACUGCGGCUCUUCCUCCAACGCCACCCUUCGGAGAUUCCAAUUCUGGGACGGGUUUUGUCUCCACAGACCGGUCUAUUUCAGUCACCAACAACAAAAACCCACCUCCAAACUCACCUUCUUCUUACAACACAGCAAUAGUUUCCACUUGGUACGUUUUUAUUCCUCAUUGUUUUCGGCUCAAGGCUUUGAUUUGAUUGAAAACCCUUUGUUUUCUUUGGAGAAAAACGCUGUGGGUUUUAGUUUUCUUGGCUAUCUUGGCUCCUCCGCGACAAGCCCUGCCCUGUAUUUAUCUUCGACCCAGACCGAACUACAGCUCGGACCUCCGACCCAGAUCUGUUGAGCUCCGAUCGCCGCCUCGUCGUCUGGUUGUUCCACCUCUUCAAUCUCGCCGAACUUCUUCGCCACUGACGCCGGCUCGGCUUGCACGCUCGGAUUUGAAGAAGAAGACCUCCUCCAUUCUAUUUGGGUCUGUUUCUAAUCUAUUAGAGCUCUUUCUAGUGCACUUCGCAAUAUCCUUUCUGCCUCCAGAAGAGUCGACUCUUUUAACUUGGUGAGACGUUCCAAAGCCUUAUUUGUCAAUUGUCGUUGAUUUGGGUCAGCAAAGAUUGUGUCUUUGAUUUCUCUACGGUUCAUUCGCCGACUCCGACUCCGACUUCGACUCCGAUGAAGAUGACGGAACCGAGAAACUCAGGUUCGAGCGACUCCGACUUCCACUUGGAUAAUUUUGUUUCUGGUUUUUUCAUGGCGGUAAUUGCUUGAUUUGGGUAAUUGUUAUUGGGUUAUUUUGGUUGGUUGUGAAUUGCUAUUGAGUUCAAGGAUUUCUCUCGAUGUGUGUCCUUCAAUCGAAAGGAAAUUGAACACUUUUAUGCUCUGUGCUGUUCAUUUGGAUUUGGGUUGUUUGAAUUUUGUCAGAUAUAGCCAUCUUCUACACCUAAUAUGGGUUCUUCACCGUAUACCUCAAUUCAAAUUUUUGAAAAUCAAUUUGUUCCUGGUUGAUUCAUGAGAAUUGCUUGGUGUAUAUGCCUCUCACAGUACUUGAAAUCUAGGUAUUUCUUUCAAAAGAAAGUUACAGGUCUUGUUUCAAAACUCAUCAAUUGGAGAAGAUGGGAAGAAGUCUACUAUUAGGCAAUUCGCUUGGUGUAUAUGUCUCUCACAGUACUUGAAAUCUGGGUAUGCUUCAUUUGAACACCUCCACUUUUUACCAUCUGUUCUUCUGCACCUUCUUGGCUCUGAGUCUUUCUGCCAAAGCCCAUAUAUAUCAUAGCAAUCCCACCCAUUUCUCUCUAUCUCUUCUUGUUCCAAUUAUGUUGCAUAAUUGAUCUAAUAAUAGCUUUUUUGUUUGGUCUGAGAUGAUUAGCAAGCUUAAAUUUAUAGUUGUUAAUUGUAAUUUUUUUAUUUGGUUUGAGUGGAAAACUGGAAAUUUCUUGAUGUUAUGAGUUUGGGUGGAAAUUAAGUGGAAUGUCGAGUUUACCCCUUUCUGUGGGCCCACUUGCUGACUUUGUCGCUGCCAGCUCAUCACUUAACGUCUGAUUUGGAUGUCUCGGAAAAAUUUGAGCACGGCUGAUUGAAAUUGAAAGCAUGGGGGUGUUGCUGAUCAAAUUGAAAGAGCAGGGACUAACAUGAUGUUGAGUGCAAACCACAGGAUAGUAAACUGAAAUUUUUCCUUGAAAUAAUUAUAAUACUCGGUUAACAAUGGAGGCUUUAUUGGGAAAUGAAGGAAACAGUAUUAGACAUGGGUUUUUGCUUUUUAAGCUUCUUUUGCUUUGUUUUCUUGAGAUUUGGUUAUGGGGGGUUAAAUGUUGUUCUUUUCUUGGCUGGUAUAUGUAAUAGAUGACAGAAGAUCCUAUCAGAAAAAAGAAAGCAGAUGAUGGAAGAAACAUUAAAUUCCAGUGUUUUGACUAUUAUGAUUAUUAGUCUAUUGGAAAUCAGCUUUCCUUAGUAUGUUUUAAACUUCUAUUUUAUUAGAAUAUGACAGAAAAUGCAUGGCAUCGAGAAUAUGAAUUCACACCGUGCGGUUUCUUCUGUCCAAUCUGAUAUGGUUAACUCAUUCUGCUCUCUAAAAAAUUUUGAGAUUUUUUCACCCUUAGUCAAUAUACUUUAUUUUACAUCAUCAUAACAUUUUUGAUAUAUUGGCUGUGUUUUUUUCAGAUUGAUCAUUUUUUGAUAUAUGUCGGUGGUUUUGGGUUUUAAACAAACCAGAGUUCUUUGGUAUAUACCUCUUCUUGAUUGCAAACUAGAUGUUCUUUGAAAAUAUUAACUCUGUCAUAUGCUUUCAGAUUGCCAAAGCUUUUUUCAAUCAACUCAAACUGUUCCUGAGCAGGAUUUAAUACAUCAAGGGCAGAAGAGUAACUAAGGUAAUAGAAAUCCUAGAAUGACAGCAACACUGUACACCAGGUUUUGCCACGUUCAGCCAAAACCAAGAUUGCAGUUAUAACUUUCCCGCUCUCACCAAAACCGCUUAUUCCUAGGCAAAAGACAGGCUUUUCUUUGCCACGAGUCGCAAUAAGGUUUUGCUAUGACACUUCUACUCAUAUACAAUCAAGUACAUAUGUUCUUCUAAUUUAUCACUUUUGCUCGAUUUUCAUUGAACGAUUGAUUGUUUUUCUCCUUGGCUCAGUUCGUUGAGACAAUGAUUCUUGCUAAAUAAUAAGGGAAAGGGAUAGAAAGGCUAGCGCAAGCAUUGAAAGUCUCAAAUUUCUUUAGCUGUGAUCAGCAGAUCAUUAUCAUAUUUCAUCCGUUCCUCAAUUUUGCAUAUGUCAGUAUACAUUAUUUUUCCUUUUUUGUGUUUGAAGACAACACUGUGAUUCAUCUGCAUGUCUACUCCUCACCUUAUUAAUUGCUGAUCUCUUCUUAUUUUUGCCUCUAGAUUUUUUUCUUCUUUUGGUCAAAGCUGUAGAUUUUUGAGAAUUCUAAAUUCGUGACUUGAUGAGUACUUGGUGGUUCUUCUUCUUCCAAGGCUUUUCUGAACCCAAGUGUUCUUGAGAAAAACAAGAAGGGGCAAGAGACCUAGAAAGGGAGGCAACCGAUUCUGGAAGAGUAUUGGGCUGCGCACCAAGACCGACAGGGAUGCCAUUCAAGGAUACUAAGGAAGGGUACUUGUGCUUUUACAAGGAAGGCUUCAAUUCAGUUUCUGCUUUCAAUUUGAGACGCGUUACUCUAUGACGUUGUCUUGGUUGCCAUUAGUCGAAUACAGUUAAUCGAAGACAAAGUUCGGUUAUGUCAAGCUCUCAUCCAAACUUUCCACAUUUCACUUGGAAUCUUGCAGCUUGGGCAGACAACGAAAUUAGUAGUACUUGAAUUAUUGAUGACCAUGUACUAUUUUUUAUUCUAAUUAGCAGUCUUGAUCGGAAAAUCUGCAGUUCACUUUUUCAACUACAAACUGAAAGAAGCUUCUUGCAAUAAUGACAUAUCUGGUUUGUCUUUAAAAUUGACGGGGAAUACUGCUAUGAUUUUCUGUUGCUGCAAAACCCAAUCAAUGUUUUAAGUGUAAUUCAGGUAUUAAAA